GCUUGCUGGUGUGGAUGAGUGGCGAACGGGUGAGUAAUACGUGAGUAACCUGCCCUUGACUCUGGGAUAAGCCCGGGAAACUGGGUCUAAUACUGGAUGCUACAUGUCACCGCAUGGUGGUGUGUGGAAAGGGUUUACUGGUCUUGGAUGGGCUCACGGCCUAUCAGCUUGUUGGUGAGGUAAUGGCUCACCAAGGCGACGACGGGUAGCCGGCCUGAGAGGGUGACCGGCCACACUGGGACUGAGACACGGCCCAGACUCCUACGGGAGGCAGCAGUGGGGAAUAUUGCACAAUGGGCGAAAGCCUGAUGCAGCGACGCCGCGUGAGGGAUGACGGCCUUCGGGUUGUAAACCUCUUUCAGCAGGGAAGAAGCCACAAGUGACGGUACCUGCAGAAGAAGCGCCGGCUAACUACGUGCCAGCAGCCGCGGUAAUACGUAGGGCGCAAGCGUUGUCCGGAAUUAUUGGGCGUAAAGAGCUCGUAGGCGGUUUGUCGCGUCUGCUGUGAAAGCCCGGGGCUUAACCCCGGGUGUGCAGUGGGUACGGGCAGACUAGAGUGCAGUAGGGGAGACUGGAAUUCCUGGUGUAGCGGUGGAAUGCGCAGAUAUCAGGAGGAACACCGAUGGCGAAGGCAGGUCUCUGGGCUGUUACUGACGCUGAGGAGCGAAAGCAUGGGGAGCGAACAGGAUUAGAUACCCUGGUAGUCCAUGCCGUAAACGUUGGGCACUAGGUGUGGGGGACAUUCCACGUUUUCCGCGCCGUAGCUAACGCAUUAAGUGCCCCGCCUGGGGGAGUACGGGCCGCAAGGCUAAAACU
rnacentral:rRNA from 1 species